GGGGGUUUAGCUCAGUGGUAGAGCACUUGCCUAGCAAGCGCAAGGCCCUGGGUUCGGUCCCCAGCUCCG
rfam:Rattus norvegicus chromosome 2, whole genome shotgun sequence.